rnacentral:rRNA from 1 species
CCCAGACUCCUACGGGAGGCAGCAGUGAGGAAUAUUGGUCAAUGGGCGCGAGCCUGAACCAGCCAAGUCGCGUGAGGGAUGACGGCCCUACGGGUUGUAAACCUCUUUUGUCGGGGAGCAAAUUCCGCCACGUGUGGCGGAGUCGAGAGUACCCGAAGAAAAAGCAUCGGCUAACUCCGUGCCAGCAGCCGCGGUAAUACGGAGGAUGCGAGCGUUAUCCGGAUUUAUUGGGUUUAAAGGGUGCGUAGGCGGUCGGGAAAGGCGGCGGUAAAGGCCGGGGGCCCAACCCCGGCGAGCCGUUGAAACUGGCGGGCUGGAGUUGGAGAGAAGUACGCGGAAUGCGCGGUGUAGCGGUGAAAUGCUUAGAUAUCGCGCAGAACCCCGAUUGCGAAGGCAGCGUACCGGCUCCACACUGACGCUGAGGCACGAAAGCGUGGGUAUCGAACAGGAUUAGAUACCCUUGUA